CAACCUGCCGUCUACUCUUGGACAGCCUUCUGAAAGGAAGAUUAAUACAAGAUGGCAUCAUGAGUCCGCAUGUUCACACGAUUAAAGGUAUUCCGGUAGACGAUGGGGAUGCGUUCCAUUAGAUAGUAGGCGGGGUAACGGCCCACCUAGUCUUCGAUGGAUAGGGGUUCUGAGAGGAAGGUCCCCCACAUUGGAACUGAGACACGGUCCAAACUCCCACGGGAGGCAGCAGUGAGGAAUAUUGGUCAAUGGGCGAGAGCCUGAACCAGCCAAGUAGCGUGAAGGAUGACUGCCCUAUGGGUUGUAAACUUCUUUUAUAAAGGAAUAAAGUCGGGUAUGGAUACCCGUUUGCAUGUACUUUAUGAAUAAGGAUCGGCUAACUCCGUGCCAGCAGCCGCGGUAAUACGGAGGAUCCGAGCGUUAUCCGGAUUUAUUGGGUUUAAAGGGAGCGUAGAUGGAUGUUUAAGUCAGUUGUGAAAGUUUGCGGCUCAACCGUAAAAUUGCAGUUGAUACUGGAUAUCUUGAGUGCAGUUGAGGCAGGCGGAAUUCGUGGUGUAGCGGUGAAAUGCUUAGAUAUCACGAAGAACUCCGAUUG
rnacentral:rRNA from 1 species